AUGCUCCUAUGUUGUGUUAAGUGUUGGCAGAUAUCCGGAUCUCACCCUAAGGUCCGGCCUUAGACCCCGAACUUCCCCCUCCCCAUACGAAGUCCGGGGUUUUUUUUGCCUGCGA
rnacentral:sRNA from 1 species